UGGUCCCAACUAUUUCAUGCUGGAGAAGUUAAUGGUAUACAGUAACCAAGGUCACUCUUGAUCACUUUUCUGAUAAGCUAAACGGAUUCAGUUUUGUCUGUCACGGGAGCUGCCAGGGCCGAAGGACAGUGAAUCAUCAGGGCUUUUGCUGCAUCUGCUGCAAAUCCUGAACGACUGGAGCAUGGAGUCGAUCAGGUCUGAGCCCUCCUGGCUUCCUUGGGUGUUUCGGUUGUGGGCCCUCGCAGUUGGAAGAGGAGGAAGUUUUAGCAGGCCCGCGCAGGUCACAGCUGAGGUGUCCAGGAAGGACCGGCGGGUCUGAGCUGGGACCGAACCGCACCUGGAAAGUGAUGCCAGGAGCUGUUUGCUUUAGAGUCUGAAGUCGGUAUUUGAAUGCACGUGUGCACCUUUGUGCAUCAAAAAAACCUGCCCAGAGAAAGCACACAGCACAGAACGCAGGUCUGCUGGCUGUCGCUGCUCAGGGGACACAGGGGUGCUGUGGAAAUCUUUCUGUGUGCAUCUUUGAAACGAAAACAAAAAACAACAUAAAAGAACAUCUGCUUGUGUGAAAACGGAUCCGUUUCUCCUGGUUUCAAAGUGCCCAUUGCAGCAUGUGCCAUUUUUUCUGGAAUCACGGCAGAGAAGGGACAUCUCCAGAAAAUGCUGAGGUUAAAACAUCGAGGUACAACCUGCCUGUGCUAUGGUUACAAAGAUACUGUCAGCUUGGUCCUGCGGACAGCAAAUGCGUUAGUGAAGUUGAGAGAGACUGCCAGACCUUCCUCACUUCUUUUUUUGUGAUUUGCCAAAUCCUCAGCUGGCUGCAGGGUGCCCAAAAGCCCUGGCUCGAGCUGGAAGGAAGGGCAGCUGUGAGAGGAUGCUGCUGUCCCCUGGGAGCGUCCGGGGAGCCCCAGACACAAAGCUGCUGGGUUUGGUUUUGUUGUUUAUUGAAGACAGGCCUUUGUGCAGCAGUAAUGGAAAAUCCUAUUUCUGUACCAAUAAAAAGCUUUGCUCCCAUGGUUGUUGUUACUGG